CCGUAACUAUAACGGUCCUAAGGUAGCGAAAUUCCUUGUCGGGCAAGUUCCGACCCGCACGAAAGGCGUAACGAUUUGGGCGCUGUCUCAGCUGUAGACUCGGUGAAGUCUUAGUACCUGUGAAGAUGCAGGUUGCCCGCGACUAGACGGAAAGACCCCAUGGAGCUUCACUGCAGGUUGACAUUGGGCUUGGAUGCAUGAUGUACAGGAUAGGUGGGAGGCUGUGAGCCGUGCGCGCCAGCGUACGGGGAGCCGCUGUUGGGAUACCACCCUUCAUGCAUCUAGGUCCUAACCGGAGGCAACGGGCCACGGGACAGUGUCAGUCGGGCAGUUUGACUGGGGCGGUCGCCUCCCAAAGAGUAACGGAGGCGCCCAAAGAUACCCUCAGCAUGGAUGGAAACCAUGCAUAGAGUGCAAAGGCAUAAGGGUGUCUGACUGCGAGACAUACAGGUCGAGCAGGGACGAAAGUCGGGCUUAGUGAUCCGGCGGAUCCGAAUGGAAGGGCCGUCGCUCAACGGAUAAAAGCUACCCUGGGGAUAACAGGCUGAUCUCCCCCAAGAGUUCACAUCGACGGGGAGGUUUGGCACCUCGAUGUCGGCUCAUCGCAUCCUGGAGCUGAAGUCGGUUCCAAGGGUUGGGCUGUUCGCCCAUUAAAGCGGUACGCGAGCUGGGUUCAGAACGUCGUGAGACAGUUCGGUCCCUAUCUGUUGUGGGCGAAGGAGAUCUGCGGAGAGCUGUCCUCAGUACGAGAGGACCGGGAUGGACCUACCGCUGGUGCACCGGUUGUUCCGCCAGGGGCAUAGCCGGGUAGCUAAGUAGGGAAAGGAUAAGCGCUGAAAGCAUCUAAGCACGAAGCCUACUCCAAGAUGAGAUCUCCCAUUCGCAAGAAGUAAGACCCCUUAAAGACGAUAAGGUAGAUAGGCCAGGGAUGGAAGUGCAGUGAUGUACGGAGUUGACUGGUACUAAUCGGUCGAGGACUUAAUCAG
rnacentral:rRNA from 1 species